AUUGAACGCUGGCGGCAUGCCUUACACAUGCAAGUCGAACGGCAGCGGGCCUUCGGGUGCCGGCGAGUGGCGAACUGGUGAGUAAUGCAUCGGAACGUGCCAUUGAGUGGGGGAUAACGUAGCGAAAGUUACGCUAAUACCGCAUAUUCUGUGAGCAGGAAAGCAGGGGGACCGCAAGGCCUUGCGCUCUUUGAGCGGCCGAUGUCAGAUUAGCUAGUUGGUGAGGUAAAGGCUUACCAAGGCGACGAUCUGUAGCGGGUCUGAGAGGAUGAUCCGCCACACUGGAACUGAGACACGGUCCAGACUCCUACGGGAGGCAGCAGUGGGGAAUUUUGGACAAUGGGCGCAAGCCUGAUCCAGCCAUGCCGCGUGAGUGAAGAAGGCCUCGG
rnacentral:rRNA from 1 species